UAGUCCACGCCGUAAACGAUCAUCACUCGCUGUUGGCGAUAUACUGUCAGCGGCCAAGCGAAAGUAUUAAGUGAUGCACCUGGGGAGUACGCCGGCAACGGUGAAACUCAAAGGAAUUGACGGGGGCCCGCACAAGCGGUGGAGCAUGUGGUUUAAUUCGAUGACACGCGAGGAACCUUACCUGGGCUCGAAUGGAUUUGGACAAUUCCUGAAAGGGAAUCUCUCUUCGGAGCCGAAUUCAAGGUGCUGCAUGGUUGUCGUCAGCUCGUGCCGUGAGGUGUUGGGUUAAGUCCCGCAACGAGCGCAACCCCUAUUCUUAGUUACCAGCACAUAAUGGUGGGGACUCUAGGAAGACUGCCGGCGUAAGCCGCGAGGAAGGUGGGGAUGACGUCAAAUCAUCAUGGCCUUUAUGCCCAGGGGCUAC
rnacentral:rRNA from 1 species